rnacentral:rRNA from 1 species
GAUGAACGCUAGCUACAGGCUUAACACAUGCAAGUAGAGCGACCGGCGCACGGGUGAGUAACACGUAUCCAACCUGCCCUCUACUCGGGGAUAGCCUGUCGAAAGAAAGAUUAAUACCCGAUAUAAAGGAUGGGGAUGCGUUCCAUUAGGUUGUUGGUGAGGUAACAGCUCACCAAGCCUUCGAUGGACAGGGGCUCUGAGAGGAAGGUCCCCCACAUUGGAACUGAGACACGGUCCAAACGCCUGCGGGAGGCAGCAGUGAGGAAUAUUGGUAAAGUGGCGCGAGCCUGAACCAUCCAAGGAGCGUGAAGGAUGAAGGCUUAUGGGUCGUAAACUUCUUAUAUGUAAGAAUAGGUAUUAAAUGAAUAAGGAUCGGCUAACUCCGUGCCAGCAGCCGCGGUAAUAC